UGAAGGUGUAUACCACCGUUGUUGCGGUUAAAACGCUCGUAGUUGGAUCUACGUUCGAGGAGUCGGUGCUCCCUCACGGGAGUGACUGGCUACCUGAACUGAAACAGCUGGUUUUCCCUUGGUGCCCUUCAUUGGGUGCCUUGGGUGGCUAGCAAGUUUACUUUGAAAAAAUUAGAGUGCUCAAAACAGGCGCAUGCCUGAAUAGUGGUGCAUGGAAUAAUGGAAUAGGAUCUUGGUCCUAUUUUGUUGGUUUUCGGGAGCCAAGAUAAUGAUUAAGAGGGACAGACGGGGGCAUUCGUAUUGCAGCGUUAGAGGUGAAAUUCUUGGAUCGUUGCAAGACGAACAACUGCGAAAGCAUUUGCCAAGAAUGUUUUCAUUAAUCAAGAACGAAAGUUAGAGGUU
rnacentral:rRNA from 1 species